rnacentral:rRNA from 1 species
UACGGAGGGGCGAGCGUUAUUCGGAAUUAUUGGGCGUAAAGGGCGCGUAGGCGGCCCGGUAAGUCAAAGGUGAAAUCCCUCGGCUCAACUGAGGAACUGCCUUUGAAACUGUCGGGCUUGAGGCCGGGAGGGGUAGCGGAAUUCCCAGUGUAGCGGUGAAAUGCGUAGAUACUGGGAGGAACACCAGUGGCGAAGGCGGCUACCUGGACCGGUUCUGACGCUGAUGCGCGAAAGCGUGGGUAGCAACAGG